rnacentral:rRNA from 1 species
AGGCUGAGACGUGAUGCCGAGCCGAUUCAGGUGAAGUCAGUGAUCCUAUGCUGCCGAGAAAAGCCUCUAGCGAGUUCCGAGCGGCCCGUACCCCAAACCGACACAGGUGGUCAGGUAGAGAAUACCGAGGCGAUCGGGCGAACUGUGGUUAAGGAACUCGGCAAAUUGCCCCCGUAACUUAGGGAGAAGGGGGGCCGGAGACGUGAAGCCCCGCGCGGGUGGAGCGUUGUAUGGCCGCAGAGAGCAGGGGGAAGCGACUGUUUACUAAAAACACAGGUCCAUGCGAAGAAGUAAUUCGAUGUAUAUGGACUGACGCCUGCCCGGUGCUGGAACGUUAAGGGGACCUGUUAGCUCUUUCGGGGGCGAAGCGGAGAACUUAAGCGCCAGUAAACGGCGGUGGUAACUAUAACCAUCCUAAGGUAGCGAAAUUCCUUGUCGGGUAAGUUCCGACCUGCACGAAUGGCGUAACGACUUCCCCACUGUCUCAACCACAGGCCCGGCGAAAUUGCACUACGAGUAAAGAUGCUCGUUACGCGCGGCAGGACGGAAAGACCCCGGGACCUUUACUACAGCUUGACAUUGGUAUCCGGAUUGGCUUGUGUAGGAUAGGUGGGAGCCGGUGAAGCUCGUACGCCAGUGCGGGUGGAGGCAAUCUUGAAAUACCACUCUGGUUGAUUUGGGUAUCUAACUUCGGACCGUUAUCCGGUUCAGGGACAGUGUCUGGUGGGUAGUUUAACUGGGGCGGUUGCCUCCUAAAGGGUAACGGAGGCGCCCAAAGGUUCCCUCAGCCUGGUUGGCAAUCAGGUGUUGAGUGCAAGUACACAAGGGAGCUUGACUGUGAGACUGACGGGUCGAGCAGGGACGAAAGUCGGGACUAGUGAUCCGGCACUUGCGUGUGGAAGCGGUGUCGCUCAACGGAUAAAAGGUACCCCGGGGAUAACAGGCUGAUCUUCCCCAAGAGUCCAUAUCGACGGGAUGGUUUGGCACCUCGAUGUCGGCUCGUCGCAUCCUGGGGCUGUAGCAGGUCCCAAGGGUUGGGCUGUUCGCCCAUUAAAGCGGUACGCGAGCUGGGUUUAGAACGUCGUGAGACAGUUCGGUCCCUAUCCGCCGUGCGCGUAGGAUACUUGAGAAGGGCUGUCCCUAGUACGAGAGGACCGGGACGGACGAACCUCUGGUGUGCCAGUUGUCCCGCCAGGGGCACGGCUGGUUAGCUACGUUCGGAAGGGAUAACCGCUGAAAGCAUCUAAGCGGGAAGCUCGCUUCAAGAUGAGGUAUCCCACCACUAUUAGUGGGUAAGGCCCCCAGCUAGACGACUGGGUUGAUAGGCCGGAGAUGUAAGCUCGGUAACGGGUUCAGUCGACCGGUACUAAUAGGCCGAGGACUUGACUUACAA